GCCAGCACGAUGUAGUGGUUUGAGUGCUGGACUACAACUCUGGAGACCAGGGUUCGAUUCCCCGCUCGGCCA